rnacentral:rRNA from 1 species
AUACGGAGGGUGCAAGCGUUACUCGGAAUUACUGGGCGUAAAGGACGCGUAGGCGGUUUAGAAAGUCAGAUGUGAAAGCCUAUGGCUUAACCAUAGAACUGCGUCUGAAACUCCUAGACUAGAGUGAGUGAGAGGUCAGUGGAAUUAGUGGUGUAGGGGUAAAAUCCGUAGAGAUCACUAGGAAUACUCAUAGCGAAGGCGACUGACUGGAACUUUACUGACGCUGAGGCGUGAAAGCGUGGGGAGCAAACAGAAUUAGAAACCCCAGUAGUCC